rnacentral:rRNA from 1 species
GAUGAACGCUGGCGGCGUGCUUAACACAUGCAAGUCGAACGGAAAGGCCCAAGCUUGCUUGGGUACUCGAGUGGCGAACGGGUGAGUAACACGUGGGUGGUCUGCCCUGCACUUCGGGAUAAGCCUGGGAAACUGGGUCUAAUACCGGAUAGGACCACAUUUUGGAUGGUGUGGUGGAAAGUUUUUCGGUGUGGGAUGAGCUCGCGGCCUAUCAGCUUGUUGGUGGGGUAAUGGCCUACCAAGGCGUCGACGGGUAGCCGGCCUGAGAGGGUGUACGGCCACAUUGGGACUGAGAUACGGCCCAGACUCCUACGGGAGGCAGCAGUGGGGAAUAUUGCACAAUGGGCGCAAGCCUGAUGCAGCGACGCCGCGUGGGGGAUGACGGCCUUCGGGUUGUAAACUCCUUUCGCUAGGGACGAAGCGUUUUUGUGACGGUACCUGGAGAAGAAGCACCGGCUAACUACGUG